GCGCUACAGUAGCACAUUUACUGACAGUGGAACGAUACAGAGAAGAUUCACACGGUCCCAGCGCGAGGAUGAUGAAUAAAUCUGCGAAGGAUUCCGUAUAUUU